rnacentral:ribozyme from 1 species
UGGUGUACAGGCCGAUUCGAACCGGCCACCCUUGUCGUUGGCUUCUCCUCCGGUCGUGUAUCUAUUUACAGAUACAAUGAUGGGCAGAGAUCAUGGCUGGAAGCCAUUCGUUUGCCUGGCCA